CUGUAAAUAAUGCAGCUAUGAACAUUUGGGAUGAAUGUAUCUUUUUGAAUUAGUGUUAUGGGUUUGUUUUUUAGAUAUUUACUCAAGAAUAGAAAUCCUGCAUCAUAUGAUAGUUCUCUCUUAUAGAUUUUUGAGAGCAUUUGAAUACAUUUUAAAACUAAUUUGGGAUUUUCAUUCAUCUUGUUCUUUCUUAGUACCAUAAUCAGCUUCUUCCCCUUUCUAAUUUAUUAUAUUUUUGGAUGGCUUGGGUAUUCUUUUUCUUUGUGCCUCUGUUGGUAUGGAAAUUGCAUAUUUUAUUUCUGUAUAGUAACAUUACAUUAAAAAUGUAGUAAGUAUGUCAGAUAGUUAACGUCUAAAGGGACUAUGAUUUGUUUUCCAUUUUAGGGAAACUGGAUGAAAUGACUCAGAAAAUAUGUAGAACUAACCUACUGACAUAUCAUAAAUGACUUGAAGUCAGAAUUUAGUUCAUGUUUAAAAUCUCCUUUUGGGUACUUAAUGUGGAACAGAAUUAAGUAAUAGGUUAUAUUGACAGCACAUGUAUUACAAUACAUUAUGAUGUGUGCACACAUAUAUUAGGAUAUAAUCUCACAAUUUGGCAAGGUAAGCAUCAAAUAUUUAAAAUUAAAUUGAGGUGUAAAUUGAAGCAACCUGCCCAAAGUCAUGAAUUUGACUCAGUGUCUGCCCAGUUCCAGAGCCCAUGCUCCUCCCUCCAAACCCUCCCACUUGGCCUGAUGUUGCUCCAACGUGAUGACUCAACAAUUCAGAAAACAGAGUAGGAAAAGUGGCCAAGAUGGCACAAUAGAAAAGCCCCUGACCUCACCUCCUCUCACGAGCACACCAAAGUUACAACUACCAGCAGAACAACCAUCAGUGACAAAGACAGGACCCACCAGAAAAGGUCUUCUGCAGCUAAAGACAGAGAAGGAAUCACAGUGAGAGAGUGUCUUCAUCUAGGUCCAUCUGGAAAAGAAGCAAGAUAGGCAUGACUAGAAAGGAAAAAUGAACAGUAUUUGAAUAAAAGGAAUCCAUUUAAAUAACAGGAAAAGAGAAUCUUCAGAUUGGGAAAUGGAGCUGGACUUUGCUGCCUCUACUCUUGACCCCUGAGACACACCUUCUCCGUGGGAAUCUCACACUGACUGCCCAGCCAACAUCUGCUUUGCCUGCCCUUACAGCGUGGAAGGAGAGCUCCGCUCCCCUCUGGCUGCUCAUGCCUCUUGCUUCUACAGAAGUGCUGACCCCAGAACCACGGCACUCAGUGCCAGGAAACAUACUGAACUUUCAGAGUUCACUCCUAAUCAUCAACAUUUCACCUUAUGACUCACCUUAGUCCAAUAGGACCUUGCUUAUUUAUACAGAGCCUGUUCUCAUCUUUUCUGUUACGACUGCUUCUAAUCCAGUGAAUUUACAGUCUACAUCUGUGAAGUGAAUACAACAUAUUAAA